rnacentral:rRNA from 1 species
GACGAACGCUGGCGGCGUGCUUAACACAUGCAAGUCGAGCGGUAAGGCCCUUUCGGGGGUACACGAGCGGCGAACGGGUGAGUAACACGUGGGUGACCUGCCCUCAGCUCUGGGAUAAGCCUGGGAAACCGGGUCUAAUACUGGAUAUGACUCCAUGACGCAUGUUGUGGGUGAAAGCCUUGUGCGGCUGAGGAUGGGCCCGCGGCCUAUCAGCUUGGUUGGUGGGGUGAGNGGCCUACCAAGGCGACGACGGUAGCCGGCCU